UGCUUAACACAUGCAAGUCGAACGGGAUGCUUAGGCAUCUAGUGGCGGACGGGUGAGUAACGCGUGAGAAUCUGGCUCCAGGUCGGGGAUAACAGUUGGAAACGACUGCUAAUACCGGAUGUGCCGAGAGGUGAAAGAUUUAUUGCCUGGAGAUGAGCUCGCGUCUGAUUAGCUAGUUGGUGGUGUAAGGGACCACCAAGGCGUCGAUCAGUAGCUGGUCUGAGAGGAUGAUCAGCCACACUGGGACUGAGACACGGCCCAGACUCCUACGGGAGGCAGCAGUGGGGAAUUUUCCGCAAUGGGCGAAAGCCUGACGGAGCAAUACCGCGUGAGGGAGGAAGGCUCUUGGGUCGUAAACCUCUUUUCUCAAGGAAGAAGAAAGUGACGGUACUUGAGGAAUAAGCAUCGGCUAACUCCGUGCCAGCAGCCGCGGUAAUACGGAGGAUGCAAGCGUUAUCCGGAAUGAUUGGGCGUAAAGGGUCUGCAGGUGGAACUGAAAGUCUGCUGUUAAAGAGUUUGGCUUAACCAAAUAAAAGCGGUGGAAACUACAGAACUAGAGUGCGGUAGGGGCAAAAGGAAUUCCUGGUGUAGCGGUGAAAUGCGUAGAUAUCAGGAAGAACACCGGUGGCGAAAGCGUUUUGCUAGACCGUAACUGACACUGAGGGACGAAAGCUAGGGGAGCGAAUGGGAUUAGAUACCCCAGUAGUCCUAGCCGUAAACGAUGGAUACUAGGCGUGGCUUGUAUCGACCCGAGCCGUGCCGGAACUAACGCGUUAAGUAUCCCGCCUGGGGAGUACGCACGCAAGUGUGAAACUCAAAGGAAUUGACGGGGGCCCGCACAAGCGGUGGAGUAUGUGGUUUAAUUCGAUGCAACGCGAAGAACCUUACCAAGACUUGACAUCCUGCGAAUCCCGGUGAAAGCUGGGAGUGCCUUAGGGAGCGCAGAGACAGGUGGUGCAUGGCUGUCGUCAGCUCGUGUCGUGAGAUGUUGGGUUAAGUCCCGCAACGAGCGCAACCCUCGUUUUUAGUUGCCAGCAUUAAGUUGGGCACUCUAGAGAGACUGCCGGUGACAAACCGGAGGAAGGUGAGGAUGACGUCAAGUCAGCAUGCCCCUUACGUCUUGGGCUACACACGUACUACAAUGCUACGGACAGAGGGCAGCAAGCCAGGGAUGGCAAGCGAAUCCAGAAACCGUAGCUCAGUUCAGAUCGAAGGCUGCAACUCGCCUUCGUGAAGGAGGAAUCGCUAGUAAUUGCAGGUCAGCAUACUGCAGUGAAUUCGUUCCCGGGCCUUGUACACACCGCCCGUCACACCAUGGAAGUUGGUCACGCCCGAAGUCAUUACCCCAACCGAAAGGAGGGGGAUGCCUAAGGUAGGACUGGUGACUGGGGUGAAGUCGUAACAAGGUAGCCGUACCGGAAGGUGUGGCUGGAUCACCUCCUUUUAGGGAGACCUACCCAUUGAAGAAUCGAAAGUCGAAG
rnacentral:rRNA from 1 species